CUACGCAAGAACAACGACAAGGAUAAGUUCAACGGCACUAUGAAGCGACAAGGAUAAGUACUACGGCACGAUGGCGAACAAGGAUAAGUUCAACGGCACGAUGAUCGACAAGGAUAAGUACUACGGCACGAUGACAGACAAGUCCAACGGGCACGAUAAACGACGAAGUAUCACUAUCCAACGGCACGAUGAGCGACAAGGAUAAGUACUACGGCACCAUGAGUAACAAGUCAACGGCCCGAUGAGCGGACGAGUAUAAGUUCAACGGCACGAUGAGCGACGAGGAAAAGUCAAAGUGACGACGAAACGAAAAGGAAAAGUUUCAACGGGACGAGGAGUGAGGAGACAUUCAAUACAUGCUAUAA